rnacentral:rRNA from 1 species
CCCAAAGGUCCCAAGCUAGAGAAAGGGGAGCGGGAAGGAGCGGGGCUGUCGGGGCGAUCCUAAGAGGGGCGUGGGCUAGCGGAGAGGGGUAGAGCUGAUCUUGUAUCGGCGCGGCGACUGGACCCUGUCCCUCCCCGUCAUGGUGGCCCCUCCCCCUCGUGGUGGCCGGUGGCAUCGCUGGACGGGCGUCCCUAGACCGCAGCCGCAUUCAACAGUAGAGCGGGAGCGCCAAGAACGUAGCGCGUCGGUCCCCGGUGGGGGACCGCCAGGACGGGACGAGGGAGGUGGGGUUCGUUAGCCGCUGCUGACGGGCGCGCCGGCACGGCAAAACAACGGCCGGCUGAUAGGACGCAGAGGAGAGGGGUUACGAGGUCGUGAGGAAGCGACUGGUGGGACGGACGGCCCAACGGCCUGUCUUAAAAUAACUCCGGUCGGUGUAGUGUGUGUCGUGCGUCCUCGACCGGGAUACAGUACCGUUUUCCAUAAGUCGGGACAGUUCCAGGUCACCACUAUGUAUACGAAGAAUACCUACUCGACCGGGAUACAGUACCGUUUUACAUAAGUCGGAACAGCACCACUACGUAUACGAAGACGUACGUGUUCUCGGCCGGGAUACGGUACCGUUUUCCACUUCCUGAAGAGAAGAGUACAAUGAUAAGUCUCGUACCAUUCGUACCGUAGUUUGAGAAGGAUCUCCAGACGGUUGACAUACGUCCACCACCGCUUCCCCUAGUGAAACAAAGAACACCAUCACUGGUGAGUAGUGGAAGCAGAGUACAAAUGCUUCUCUGUCAGCAGUUUCGAAUAAACUCUACCCGGGAUCCGACAGCGUGAAGAACGGACGACGAACCAAGCGGGUACGAGACCACUGGACGUUACAUUAUACGGGAAAAUACGGUAUAUGGGCGACUUAGGUAGGUACUACAAACGGGUAAGAACAGUUUUCUUGUUCUCUACAUUAUUAUGAGGUAAUAAACUCGGGUGAUACGAUACACUACACUAAUAGAAACUACGGAAUAAGU